rnacentral:rRNA from 1 species
AUACGGAGGGUGCGAGCGUUAUUCGGAAUUACUGGGCGUAAAGGGCGCGUAGGCGGCCGAAUUUGUCCGAUGUGAAAGCCCGGGGCUUAACCUCGGAAGUGCAUUGGAAACGGUUCGGCUUGAGUGUCGGAGAGGGUGGGGGAAUUCCCGGUGUAGAGGUGAAAUUCGUAGAGAUCGGGAGGAAUACCAGUGGCGAAGGCGCCCACCUGGACGAUGACUGACGCUGAGGCGCGAAAGCGUGGGGAGC